UGGGCGUAAAGAGCUUCGUAAGGCGGCUUGUCGCGUCGGAUGUGAAAGCCCGGAGCUUAACUCCGGGUCUGCAUUCGAUACGGGCAGGCUAGAGUUCGGUAGGGGAGAUCGGAAUUCCUGGUGUAGCGUUGAAAUGCGCAGAUAUCAGGAGGAACACCGGUGGCGAAGGCGGAUCUCUGGGCCGAUACUGACGCUGAGGAGCGAAAGCGUGGGGAGCGAACAGGAUUAGAUACCCUGGUAGUCCACGCCGUAAACGUUGGGAACUAGGUGUGGGCGACAUUCCACGUUGUCCGCGCCGCAGCUAACGCAUUAAGUUCCCCGCCUGGGGAGUACGGCCGCAAGGCUAAAACUCAAAGGAAUUGACGGGGGCCCGCACAAGCGGCGGAGCAUGUGGCUUAAUUCGACGCAACGCGAAGAACCUUACCAAGGCUUGACAUACACCGGAAACCUCUGGAGACAGGGGCCCCCUUGUGGUCGGUGUACAGGUGGUGCAUGGCUGUCGUCAGCUCGUGUCGUGAGAUGUUGGGUUAAGUCCCGCAACGAGCGCAACCCUUGUUCUGUGUUGCCAGCAUGCCUUUCGGGGUGAUGGGGACUCACAGGAGACUGCCGGGGUCAACUCGGAGGAAGGUGGGGACGACGUCAAGUCAUCAUGCCCCUUAUGUCUUGGGCUGCACACGUGCUACAAUGGCCGGUACAAUGAGCUGUGAAGCCGUGAGGUGGAGCGAAUCUCAAAAAGCCGGUCUCAGUUCGGAUUGGG
rnacentral:rRNA from 1 species